AACAGUGCAGUGUAGUGGUUUGAGCAUUGGACUACAACUCUGAGGCCAGGGUUCGAAUCCCUACUUUGCUA